UGAGGAAUAUUGGUCAAUGGUCGAGAGACUGAACCAGCCAAGUCGCGUGAAGGAUGACUGCCCUAUGGGUUGUAAACUUCUUUUACAAGGGAAUAAAAUGAGAUACGUGUAUUUUAUUGCAUGUACCUUGGGAAUAAGCAUCGGCUAACUCCGUGCCAGCAGCCGCGGUAAUACGGAGGAUGCGAGCGUUAUCCGGAUUUAUUGGGUUUAAAGGGUGCGUAGGUGGGCUGUUAAGUCAGCGGUGAAAGUUUGUCGCUUAACGAUAAAAUUGCCGUUGAAACUGGUAGUCUUGAGUAUAGAUGAAGUAGGCGGAAUGCGUGGUGUAGCGGUGAAAUGCAUAGAGAUCACGCAGAACUCCGAUUGCGAAGGCAGCUUACUAAGGUAUAACUGACGCUGAAGCACGAAAGCGUGGGUAUCAAACAGG
rnacentral:rRNA from 1 species